GCCGCGGUGUUGGAACCGGUAGACAAGCCAGACUUAAAAUCUGGUGACUGCAUAAGUCGUGAGAGUUCGAGUCUCUCCCGCGGCA
rnacentral:tRNA from 1 species